UUUUUUGAGAGUUUGAUCCUGGCUCAGGAUGAACGCUGGCGGAGUGCCUUAAGCAUGCAAGUGAAACGGGUACGUUCGUGCGCAAGCACCGAACGUACUAGUCGCAGACGGGUGAGUAAUACAUAGGAAUCUACCCAUUGGUGUGGAAUAACUAGCCGAAAGGCUGGCUAAUACCGCAUAAUCUCGUGUUUUGCACGAGCAAAUUCUAAACAUUAAAUUCUAAAUCUCAAAUAAAUUCUAAAUAAAAAACAUUAAAUGUUUUAAGUUUAGAUUUUGAAAUUUAUUUGGAUAUUUGGAUUUUUGAUUUUGGAUUUUCUCUUGCAGAACAUGAGUAAAGGGCGUAACUGCCCGCCGAUGGAGGAGCCUAUGUCCUAUCAGUUAGUUGGUGGGGUAAUGGCCUACCAAGACUAUGACGGGUAGCUGGACUGAGAAGUUGGUCAGCCACAAUAGCACUGAGACACGGGCUAUACAUCUACGGAUGGCAGCAACUGGGAAUAUUGCGCAAUGGACGAAAGUCUGACGCAGCGACUCCGCGUGAGGGAUGAAGGCCUUAGGGUCGUAAACCUCUUUUGACAGGGAAGUCCCGAUUUAAUCGGGAGACGGUACCUGUAGAAUAAGCACCUGCUAACCACGUGCCAGCAGCCGCGGUAAUACGUGGGGUGCAAGCGUUAUCCGGAUUUAUUGGGCGUAAAGAGUUCGUAGGUUUUUUGUUAAGUUCCGUUUGAAAUCCCGAGGCUCAACCUCGGACCCGGACGGAAAACUAGCAAAAUUGAGUUUGUCAGGGGGCACUGGAAUUGACGGUGUAGCAGUGAAAUGCGUUGAUAUCGUCAAGAACACCAAGGACGAAGGUAGGUGCCUGGGACACAACUGACACUGAGGAACGAAAGCUAGGGGAGCGAAACAGAUUAGAGACCUGUGUAGUCCUAGCCGUAAACGAUGUCCGUUUGAUCUUCGGGCGCAAGCCUGGGGGUCGGAGCUAACGCGUUAAACGGACCGCCUGGGGAGUACGGUCGCAAGACUAAAACUCAAAGGAAUUGACGGGAAAGAGCACAACCAGGGGAGCAUGUGGUUUAAUUCGAUACUAAGCGAAAGACCUUACCCAGAUUUGACAUGAUACCGUUCACCUAACUGGAAACAGAUGGGGAUCAGCAAUGAUGGUAUCACAGCUGCUGCAUGGCUAUCGUCAGCUCGUGCCGUGGGGUGUCUGCUUAAGUGCAGGAACGAGCGCAACCCCUACCCAAUGUUCAAUGGUCAUUGGGAACUGCCCCGCCUUUGCGGGGAGGAAGGAGGGGAUGAUGUUAAGUCAGCAUGGCGCUUAUAUCUGGGGCGACACACAUCCUACAAUGGGAAGGAACAAUGAGUUGCCAAACCGCAAGGUGGAGCUAAUCUCAACAAAACUUCCCUCAGUUCAGAUUGGGGGCUGCAACCCGCCCCCAUGAAGAUGGACUUGGUAGUAAUCGCGGAUCAGCAGGCCGCGGUGAAUACGUUCUCUCUUUUUGUACACACCGCCCAUCAAGCCAGCAAAGUUAUAAUAAGUUAUGGGAAUACCGAGGGAACCCUUCGACU
rnacentral:rRNA from 1 species